GGGGGGGGCAAGAACUAACAAGGAUUCCCCUAGUAACUGCGAGUGAAGCGGGAAAAGCUCAAAUUUAAAAUCUGGCGGUCUCUGGCUGUCCGAGUUGUAAUCUAGAGAAGUGAUGCCCGCGCUGGACCGUGUACAAGUCUCCUGGAAUGGAGCGUCAUAGAGGGUGAGAAUCCCGUCUCUGACACGGACUACCAGGGCUUUGUGGUAUGCUCUCAAAGAGUCGAGUUGUUUGGGAAUGCAGCUCUAAAUGGGUGGUAAAUUCCAUCUAAAGCUAAAUAUUGGCGAGAGACCGAUAGCGAACAAGUACCGUGAGGGAAAGAUGAAAAGAACUUUGGAAAGAGAGUUAAACAGUACGUGAAAUUGCUGAAAGGGAAACGCUUGAAGUCAGUCGCGUUAGCUGGGAAUCAGCCUCGCUGUUGCGUGGUGUACUUUCUGGUUGACGGGUCAGCAUCAAUUUUGACUGCUGGAAAAAGGCUUUGGGAAUGUGGCAGCUUCGGCUGUGUUAUAGCCCUUGGUCACAUACAGCGGUUGGGAUUGAGGAACUCAGCACGCCGCAAGGCCGGGUUUCGACCACGUUCGUGCUUAGGAUGCUGGCAUAAUGGCUUUAAGCGACCCGUCUUGAAACACGGACCAAGGAGUCUAACAUGCCUGCGAGUGUUUGGGUGGUAAACCCGAGCGCGUAAUGAAAGUGAAAGUUGAGAUCCCUGUCGUGGGGAGCAUCGACGCCCGGACCUGAACUUUUGUGAUGGAUCCGCGGUAGAGCAUGUAUGUUGGGACCCGAAAGAUGGUGAACUAUGCCUGAAUAGGGUGAAGCCAGAGGAAACUCUGGUGGAGGCUCGUAGCGAUUCUGACGUGCAAAUCGAUCGUCAAAUUUGGGUAUAGGGGCGAAAGACUAAUCGAACCAUCUAGUAGCUGGUUCCUGCCGAAUUUCCCCCUCAAGGA
rnacentral:rRNA from 1 species